GUUGGUAUAGCUCAGUGGUAGAACAUGCGCUUAGCAUGCACAAGGUCCUGGGUUCAAUCCCCAGUGCCUCCA
rnacentral:tRNA from 1 species